UACGUAGGGGGCAAGCGUUGUCCGGAAUCAUUGGGCGUAAAGCGCGUGUAGGCGGCUGGCUAAGUCCGCUCUGAAAGCCCGGGGCUCAACCCCGGGAGGCGGGUGGAUACUGGUCAGCUCGAGUCCGGAAGAGGAGUGUGGAAUUCCUGGUGUAGCGGUGAAAUGCGCAGAUAUCAGGAGGAACACCGGUGGCGAAGGCGGGUCUCUGGGCCGAAAUUGACGCUGAGGAGCGAAAGCGUGGGGAGCAAACAGG
rnacentral:rRNA from 1 species